AACGAACGCUGGCGGCAGGCUUAACACAUGCAAGUCGAACGCAUCCUUCGGGGUGAGUGGCAGACGGGUGAGUAACGCGUGGGAACGUGCCCUUCAGUUCGGGAUAACCCAGGGAAACUUGGGCUAAUACCGGAUACGUGCGAGAGCAGAAAGAUUUAUCGCUGAAGGAUCGGCCCGCGUCUGAUUAGCUAGUUGGUGGGGUAAUGGCCCACCAAGGCGACGAUCAGUAGCUGGUCUGAGAGGAUGAUCAGCCACAUUGGGACUGAGACACGGCCCAAACUCCUAGGGGGGGCAGCAGGGGGGAAUAUUGGACAAUGGGCGCAAGCCUGAUCAGCCCAUGCCGCGGGAGUGAUGAAGGCCUUAGGGUUGAAAAGCUCUUUCGCCCGGGACGAUAAUGCCGGUACCGGAAGAAGAAGCCCCGGCUAACUUCGUGCUAGCCGCCGCAGUAA
rnacentral:rRNA from 1 species